GCCAAGUUUCCAUCAUUCCUUCCCACAAAAGUACUGAUGUUACUAGAAUAGGUGAACUGUCAAGUUUUCACCUAAGAGUUUUUAUGUGGUCCAUUCUUGUAGGAACCUGUAAAGCAAAUAAAAAUGCUCACAUAUCAACAAAAAAGGAAGUAAAAAGGACAAGUGACGGAAUUUUGGAAAAUGAUAAAUCCCCUCCACUGUCCACCAGAAAAAAAUUAAACCAAUGCUGUGGACUCCUUCAGGGAUUUACUUCUGAGAGAAACCUUCAAAUCUGUUUUCCAGUGUCAUGAUCAGAUUUCAGCUCCUACUGUUAGAAUACCAUUUCUAAGAGGCACACCUAGGUGGCUCAGUUGGUUGGGCAUCUGACUUCGGCUUGGGUCAUGAUCUUGCGGUUCGUGGGUUCAAGCCCCAUGUCAGUCUCUGUGCUGAGAGCUCAGAGCCUGGAGCCUGCUUUGGAUUCUGUGUCCCCUUCUCCCUCUGCCCCUCCCCUGCUCAUACUCUGUCUC